AUAUUAAUAAGCGGAGGAAAAGAAACUAACAAGGAUUCCUGCAGUGACUGCGAGUGAAGUAGGAAAAGUUCAAGAUGUAAAUCGGGCAGCAAUGUCCGAGCUGUAGUCUAUCGUUUGCGCGGUUGCGAAAAGAGGGCGUAAUUGCUUUGGAAAAGGCAGACAAAGAAGGUGAAAUCCCUGUAUGUCGCUCGUACCUUUUUGCGGAAACUGCGCGAACCACGAGUCACGUUGUUUGGGAUUGCAGCGUUAAGUGGGUGGUAAGUUUCAUCCAAAACUAAAUAUCAACGAGAGACCGAUAGCGCACAAGUA
rnacentral:rRNA from 1 species